UACGAAGGGUGCUAGCGUUGUUCGGAAUUACUGGGCGUAAAGCGCACGUAGGCGGUUCGAUCAGUCAGGGGUGAAAUCCCAGGGCUCAACCCUGGAACUGCCUUUGAUACUGUCGAUCUGGAGUAUGGAAGAGGUGAGUGGAAUUCCGAGUGUAGAGGUGAAAUUCGUAGAUAUUCGGAGGAACACCAGUGGCGAAGGCGGCUCACUGGUCCAUUACUGACGCUCAGGUGCGAAAGCGUGGGGAGCAAACAGG
rnacentral:rRNA from 1 species